rnacentral:tRNA from 1 species
GCCCCGCUUCUGGUGCCUCCUAAGGAGUAGGCCGCAGGUUCGAAUCCUGCUCGGGGCA